rnacentral:rRNA from 1 species
AUACGAAGGUCCCAAGCGUUGUUUGGAUUUACUGGGCGUAAAGCGUGCGUAGGCGGCAAGGUAAGUCAGAUGUGAAAUCCCGGGGCUCAACCCCGGAACUGCAUCCGAUACUGCCUUGCUAGAGUAAUGGAGGGGCAUCUGGAAUUCAUGGUGUAGCAGUGAAAUGCGUAGAUAUCAUGAGGAACACUAGUGGCGAAGGCGAGAUGCUGGACAUUUACUGACGCUGAGGUACGAAGGCCAGGGUAGCGAAAAGGAUUAGAAACCCUAGUAGUCC